UUAAAUUGAAGAGUUUGAUCAUGGCUCAGAUUGAACGCUGGCGGCAGGCCUAACACAUGCAAGUCGAACGGUAACAGGAAGCAGCUUGCUGCUUUGCUGACGAGUGGCGGACGGGUGAGUAAUGUCUGGGAAACUGCCUGAUGGAGGGGGAUAACUACUGGAAACGGUAGCUAAUACCGCAUAACGUCGCAAGACCAAAGAGGGGGACCUUAGGGCCUCUUGCCAUCGGAUGUGCCCAGA
rnacentral:rRNA from 1 species